ensembl:lncRNA
ACCUUCAACAAUCACUUGAAGAUCUCUAGAUGUUUCUGUGCCGUCUGAGUGAAAGAGUGUUAAUCUGUAAUUCCCAGAAUCUGCUCUGAUCACACGGUUUAUUAUCACAGUCCCAUUAAUGACGUUCACUUCAGGUCUGUUAUUAUAAAGAUCACAUUCACUCAUCCUCAUCCUGUCAUUCUUUACUCUACAAACUGGACCAUCUUGUGUGUUGUUGUUUAUUCUCUUUUUUAUCUGCAGGUCAUAUUUGCUAGCGUCCACCAUCAGCAGAUUGAGUUUGUCUCCCAGAGCUACGUAACAGGGAACAGAUUGACCAAAACUGCAGAACCGAUCCAGACCUGAAGAAACACACACACACACACACAAACACAAUGUAGCAAAAUCUACAGAUGUCACAAAAAAAUUUAAAUAAAACAUUCAUAUUAUUUUUUAAAUGUCUGUUUAACACUGGAAUAUCAUCUGUUUUUGUUUUCUUCAGUCAUAAAGCAAAUUUAAAUGUUGAUUUUAUUUAAAUUUACUUUCACUGUCUACAAACACUUUUUGCAUGUUGACAUGUUUUAUUCUGAUAAAGCAUAGAUUGUCU